GUCUGAUCUCUCACGCCCAAUAAUGAAGAAAAUGGAGGGAAAUGGAUGGUGACCUCAGACUCAAUCUUUCCUUCUCACUUCUUCAAUAGGUGGAGUGUCCUGACUUUCCAGAGGCCCAUGUAAGUAUUUAUGGACUCCAUCUAGUUGUCAGGUGCUGGGUCAGAGCUGAAGAUGCAGAGUGAAGGUGACAUACAUAGAGUCUGGCAUGGGAGAGCAGACUCUAAAUGACACCAGGACCUGAACUGUCUGGAAGAGCAUGUAAUGAAGAGGAGAAGUGGAGAACUGGGCAGGAGUGCUUCAGGCAGAGGGGAGAGCAAGUGUAAAGGGCCACAGGUGAGAGGGGACACAGCAGGUGCAAGUGACCGACACUGCUACAUUUUACCUGAAUCCUCUGCUCCUGGGCAACAGCGAAGGUUCAGUAAUCCCUUAGUCUUUUGUGUUCAGAACAGUCUGCUACAAGGAACUUCCCUUCUCCAUAGGACAUAGAGAAGACUCAAGGAUGACCCGUGACAAAGCUAGGCAUAGACACAGGCCCUCCAAAUUCUUAUGCUUUGCCUUAUAAAUGAUUAGCUGAACUGUUUGUCCUCACCCACCAGUUGUAACAAAAUGUCUGUUAAUCAAACCUGAAGAUUUUCUCUCCUUUCCCCAGGUCCCUGUACUUUGGUCCUUCUUCAGCCCAAGCCAGCAUGCAGACCUUCUUCAACAGCAGCUCCUGAGAAGAGGCCACUUCUGAAACCACUGUCACAUCAUCCCACACUCUUCCAUCCUACUUCUGAGUCACACUAGGCUCUUUCUAACCUUGCUCACCC